GAGUCGAGUUGUUUGGGAAUGCUGCUCAAAAUGGGAGGUAAACCCCUUCUAAAGCUAAAUACUGGCCAGAGACCGAUAGCGCACAAGUAGAGUGAUCGAAAGAUGAAAAGCACUUUGAAAAGAGAGUUAAAAAGCACGUGAAAUUGUUAAAAGGGAAGCGCUUGCGACCAGACUUGCGCCCGUCGGAUCAACCGUCCGCUUGCGGCGGCGCACUCCGGCGGGCUCAGGCCAGCAUCAGUUCGUCCGGGGGGAGAAAGGCGGCGGGAAUGUGGCUCUUCGGAGUGUUAUAGCCCGCCGUGUAAUACCCUCGGGUGGACUGAGGACCGCGCGUAUGCAAGGAUGCUGGCGUAAUGGUCGUCAGCGACCCGUCUUGAAACAC
rnacentral:rRNA from 1 species